rnacentral:rRNA from 1 species
AUUGAACGCUAGCGGCAGGCCUAACACAUGCAAGUCGAGCUAGCGGCGGACGGGUGAGUAAUGUAUGGGGACUGCCCGAUAUAGGGGGAUCACUACUGGAAACGGUAGCUAAUACCGCAUCCUAUCGGAUAACCCAUAUGGGAUUGGCUAGUGGGUGAGGUAAUGGCUCACCUGGGCGACGAACCCUAGCUGGUCUGAGAGGUUGAUCAGCCACCGUGGGACUGAGACACGGCCCAGACUCCAACGGAGGGUGCAGUGGGGAAUAUUGGACAAUGGGGGCAGGCCUGAUGCAGCCAUGCCGCGUGUAUGAGGAAGGCCCUAGGGUUGUAAAGUACUUUCAGUCGGGAGGCGUUACCGACAGAAGAAGCACCGGCUAACUCCGUGCCAGCAGCCGCGGUAAUUC